AACGAACGCUGGCGGCAGGCUUAACACAUGCAAGUCGAACGCCCCGCAAGGGGAGUGGCAGACGGGUGAGUAACGCGUGGGAAUGUGCCCCAAGGUACGGAACAACACCGGGAAACUGGUGCUAAUACCGUAUGUGACCGAGAGGUGAAAGAUUUAUCGCCUUGGGAUCAGCCCGCGUUAAAUUAGCUAGUUGGUGAGGUAAUGGCUCACCAAGGCUACGAUCUAUAGCUGGUCUGAGAGGAUGAUCAGCCACACUGGGACUGAGACACGGCCCAGACUCAUACGGGAGGCAGCAGUGGGGAAUCUUGGACAAUGGGCGCAAGCCUGAUCCAGCCAUGCCGCGUGAAUGAUGAAGGCCUUAGGGUUGUAAAGUUCUUUCGUCGGGGACGAUAAUGACGGUACCCGAAGAAGAAGCCCCGGCUAACUUCGUGCCAGCAGCCGCGGUAA
rnacentral:rRNA from 1 species